UACGGGGAAUCAGGGUGUCGAUUCCGGAGAGGGAGCCUGAGAAACGGCUACCACAUCCAAGGAAGGCAGCAGGCGCGCAAAUUACCCACUCCCGGCACGGGGAGGUAGUGACGAAAAAUAACGAUGCGGGACUCAUCCGAGGCCCCGUAAUCGGAAUGAGUAUACUCUAAAUCCUUAUACGAGUAUCCAUUGGAGGGCAAGUCUGGUGCCAGCAGCCGCGGUAAUUCCAGCUCCAAUAGCGUAUAUUAAAGUUGUUGCGGUUAAAAAGCUCGUAGUUGGAUCUGUGUCCCGCACCGCCGGUUCACCGCCUGUCGGUGUCAAACUGGCGUGUUUGCGGGACGUCCUGUCGGUGGUGGUUCGGGGCUUCGUCGACCCUAAGGGUGUCCCUGCGGCUCCCUGAAGGCUGGCGUAUGCUUCCGGCCGCCUUUUCAAUCCCGUCGCGGUGCUCUUCACCGAGUGUCGAGGCGGGCCGGCACGUUUACUUUGAACAAAUUAGAGUGCUUUAAGCAGGCUCAUUCCCGCCUGUAUACUGUGUGCAUGGAAUAAUGGAAUAGGACCUCGGUUCUAUUUUGUUGGUUUUCGGAAUCUGAGGUAAUGAUCAAUGGGGACAGGCGGGGGCAUUCGUAUUGCGACGUUAGAGGUGAAAUUCUUGGAUCGUCGCAAGACGGACCGAAGCGAAAGCAUUUGCCAAGUAUGUUCUCGUCGAUCAAGAACGAAAGUUAGAGGUUCGAAGGCGAUCAGAUACCGCCCUAGUUCUAACCAUAAACUAUGCCUGCCAGCGAUCCGCCGGCGUUCCUCCGAUGACCCGGCGGGCAGCUUCCGGGAAACCAAAGCCUUUGGGUUCCGGGGGAAGUAUGGUUGCAAAGCUGAAACUUAAAGGAAUUGACGGAAGGGCACCACCAGGAGUGGAGCCUGCGGCUUAAUUUGACUCAACACGGGAAAACUCACCAGGCCCGGACACCGGAAGGAUUGACAGAUUGAGAGCUCUUUCUUGAUUCGGUGGGUGGUGGUGCAUGGCCGUUCUUAGUUGGUGGAGCGAUUUGUCUGGUUAAUUCCGAUAACGAACGAGACUCUAGCCUACUAAAUAGACGUUUCCGGUAUCCACAAUCGUGCUACCGGCGACUAAAUUUCUUCUUAGAGGGACAGGCGGCUGUAGCCGCACGAGACUGAGCAAUAACAGGUCUGUGAUGCCCUUAGAUGUCCUGGGCCGCACGCGCGCUACACUGAAGGAGUCAGCGUGUCUUCCCUGUCCGAAAGGACCGGGUAACCCGCUGAACCUCCUUCGUGCUUGGGAUUGGGGCUUGCAAUUGUUCCCCAUGAACGAGGAAUUCCCAGUAAGCGCGAGUCAUAAGCUCGCGUUGAUUACGUCCCUGCCCUUUGUACACACCGCCCUUCGUUU
rnacentral:rRNA from 1 species